UACGUAGGUGGCAAGCGUUGUCCGGAUUUAUUGGGUUUAAAGGGUGCGUAGGCGGCUUUAUAAGUCAGUGCUGAAAUAUCCCGGCUUAACCGGGAGGGUGGCAUUGAUACUGCAGAGCUUGAGUGAAGUCGAGGUAGGCGGAAUUGACGGUGUAGCGGUGAAAUGCUUAGAUAUCGUCAAGAGCACCGAUAGUGAAGACAGCUUACUAGACUCCAACUGACGCUGAGGCACGAAAGUGUGGGGAUCAAACAGG
rnacentral:rRNA from 1 species